GAUGAACGCUGGCGGCGUGCCUAAUACAUGCAAGUCGAGCGAACAGACGAGGAGCUUGCUCCUCUGACGUUAGCGGCGGACGGGUGAGUAACACGUGGAUAACCUACCUAUAAGACUGGGAUAACUUCGGGAAACCGGAGCUAAUACCGGAUAAUAUAUUGAACCGCAUGGUUCAAUAGUGAAAGACGGUUUUGCUGUCACUUAUAGAUGGAUCCGCGCCGCAUUAGCUAGUUGGUAAGGUAACGGCUUACCAAGGCAACGAUGCGUAGCCGACCUGAGAGGGUGAUCGGCCACACUGGAACUGAGACACGGUCCAGACUCCUACGGGAGGCUGCAGUAGGGAAUCUUCCGCAAUGGGCGAAAGCCUGACGGAGCAACGCCGCGUGAGUGAUGAAGGUCUUCGGAUCGUAAAACUCUGUUAUUAGGGAAGAACAAAUGUGUAAGUAACUAUGCACGUCUUGACGGUACCUAAUCAGAAAGCCACGGCUAACUACGUG
rnacentral:rRNA from 1 species